ACUAAAAACUUAGCCCCCCAUAUACCCCUAAUAAAUAUUAUUGUUUCUUUAUUUAUUUAAAACAUUUUUAUAUUCUAGUAAAGGUGAUUGAAAAACUUCCAGGAGCUAUACAAAUAGUACCGUAAGGGAAAAGUGAAAUAAAAAUGAAAUAAAUUUUAAGUACAAAAUAGUAGAGACUUCCCCUCGUACCUUUUGCAUCAUGGUUUAACUAGUUAAAUUAAGCAAAACGACUUAUAGUUUAACUUCCCGAAACUAGGCGAGCUACUUCAAGGCAGCUUAUUGAGCUAACCCGUCUCUGUCGCAAAAGAGUGGGAUGACCUUCAAGUAGAGAUGAUAUAUCUAACAAGCCUAGUGAUAGCUGGUUAUUCAGGAAAAAGAUUUUAGUCUAACCUAAAGCUUAUUUAAUAAAAUUUUAUAAAAAGUUCACUUUAGAGUAAUUCAAAUAAGGUACAGCCUGUUUGAAAUAGGAUACAACCUCUUAAGACGGGUUAUAUUUUUUGACAUAUUCAAGUAGGCCUAAGAGCAGCCACCUUUUAGAUAGCGUCAAAGCUCCACUAUACCUUCUUCUAAUUUCUUUAAUUUUACAAAACCCUCUAUUAGUACUGAAUACUUCUAUAAUUUUAUAGAACAUUUUAUGUUAAAACUAGUAACAAGAAGAAGACCUUCACUCUAAUGUAAGUGUAAGCCAGUCAGGACACACCACUGGUUAUUAACAUUUAUGCAGAAAAAUUAAUAACUUUUUCAAGAAAAACUUAAUUUAUGUUAUGUUAACCUAACACAAGAACAUUCUGAGUAAGAUUUAAAGAAAAAGAAGGAACUCAGCAAAUAUUAACCUCGCCUGUUUACCAAAAACAUCGCCUCUUGAUUUUUAUAAGAGGUCUAGCCUGCCCAGUGACUCUGUUCAACGGCCGCGGUAUCCUAACCGUGCGAAGGUAGCGUAAUCACUUGUUCUUUAAAUGGGGACUAGUAUGAAUGGCAUCACGAGGGUUAUACUGUCUCCUUUUUCUAAUCAGUGAAACUAAUCUCCCCGUGAAGAAGCGGGGAUGAAUUUAUAAGACGAGAAGACCCUAUGGAGCUUUAAACUAAAUUACAUCUGCUUUAGAUUUUUUACCUUCCAGAAUAUUCAACAUUUAUUUUAGCUUUCUGAUUUUUAGUUUUAGGUUGGGGUGACCGCGGAGCAAAAAAUAACCUCCAUGUUGAACGGAAUUAAAUUCCUUAGCUACAAAUUACAUUUUUAUGCACCAAUAAAUUGACAUUAAUUGACCCAAUAAAUUGAUCAACGAAACAAGUUACCCUAGGGAUAACAGCGCAAUCCGCUUCAAAAGCUCCUAUCGACAAGCGGGCUAUACGACCUCGAUGUUGGAUCAGGGUAUCCCAGUGGUGCAGCCGCUACUAAAGGUUCGUUUGUUCAACGAUUAAAACCCUACGUGAUCUG
rnacentral:rRNA from 1 species